rnacentral:rRNA from 1 species
CAGUAGCACGGGAAUACGUAGGGUGCGAGCGUUAAUCGGAAUUACUGGGCGUAAAGCGUGCGCAGGCGGUUUUGUAAGACAGGCGUGAAAUCCCCGGGCUCAACCUGGGAAUGGCGCUUGUGACUGCAAAGCUAGAGUGCGGCAGAGGGGGAUGGAAUUCCGCGUGUAGCAGUGAAAUGCGUAGAUAUGCGGAGGAACACCGAUGGCGAAGGCAAUCCCCUGGGCCUGCACUGACGCUCAUGCACGAAAGCGUGGGGAGCAAACAGGAUUAGAUACCCCUGUAGUCCCUGUCUCUGAUACA